GACAGAGGGGGCAAGCGUUGCUCGGAAUCACUGGGCGUAAAGGGCGCGUAGGCGGGAUGGCAAGUCAGUCGUGAAAUCUCUCGGCUCAACCGAGAAACGUCGGCUGAUACUGCCGUUCUUGAGGGAUGCAGAGGAGACUGGAAUUCCCGGUGUAGCGGUGAAAUGUGUAGAGAUCGGGAGGAACACCGGUGGCGAAGGCGGGUCUCUGGGCAUUUCCUGACGCUGAGGCGCGAAAGCGUGGGUAGCGAACAGG
rnacentral:rRNA from 1 species